GAUGAACGCUGGCGGCGUGCCUAAUACAUGCAAGUCGAGCGAACGGACGAGAAGCUUGCUUCUCUGAUGUUAGCGGCGGACGGGUGAGUAACACGUGGAUAACCUACCUAUAAGACUGGGAUAACUUCGGGAAACCGGAGCUAAUACCGGAUAAUAUUUUGAACCGCAUGGUUCAAAAGUGAAAGACGGUCUUGCUGUCACUUAUAGAUGGAUCCGCGCUGCAUUAGCUAGUUGGUAAGGUAACGGCUUACCAAGGCAACGAUGCAUAGCCGACCUGAGAGGGGGAUCGGCCACACUGGAACGGAGACACGGUCCAGACGCCUACGGGAGGCAGCAGUAGGGAAUCUUCCGCAAUGGGCGAAAGCCUGACGGAGCAACGCCGCGUGAGUGAUGAAGGUCUUCGGAUCGUAAAACCCUGUUAUUAGGGAAGAACAUAUGUGUAAGUAACUGUGCACAUCUUGACGGUACCUAAUCAGAAAGCCACGGCUAACUACGUG
rnacentral:rRNA from 1 species